UACGUAGGGGGCAAGCGUUGUCCGGAUUUAUUGGGCGUAAAGAGCGUGUAGGCGGCUUUACAGGUCCGUUGUGAAAACUCGAGGCUCAACCUCGAGACGCCGGUGGAAACCGUAAAGCUAGAGUCCGGAAGAGGAGAGUGGAAUUCCUGGUGUAGCGGUGAAAUGCGCAGAUAUCAGGAAGAACACCCGUGGCGAAGGCGGCUCCCUGGGACGGUACUGACGCUGAGACGCGAAAGCGUGGGGAGCGAACAGG
rnacentral:rRNA from 1 species